rnacentral:rRNA from 1 species
CUUAAGUGGGGAAUAACGCAUCGAAAGGUGUGCUAAUACCGCAUAAUCUCUGAGGAGAAAAGCAGGGGAUCGCAAGACCUUGCGCUUUUGGAGCGGCCGAUGCCUGAUUAGCUUGUUGGUGAGGUAAAAGCUCACCAAGGCUUCGAUCAGUAGCUGGUCUGAGAGGACGACCAGCCACACUGGGACUGAGACACGGCCCAGACUCCUACGGGAGGCAGCAGUGGGGAAUUUUGGACAAUGGGGGCAACCCUGAUCCAGCCAUGCCGCGUGAGUGAAAAAGGCCUUCGGGUUGUAAAGCUCUUUCAGCCGGAACGAAACGGUCACGGUUAAUACCCGUGACUACUGACGGUACCGGAAGAAGAAGCACCGGCUAACUACGUGCCAGCAGCCGCGGUAAUACGUAGGGUGCGAGCGUUAAUCGGAAUUACUGGGCGUAAAGCGUGCGCAGGUGGUUUUGUAAGUCAGAUGUGAAAUCCCCGGGCUUAACCUGGGAACUGCGUUUGAAACUGCAAGGCUAGAGUGUGGCAGAGGGGGGUGGAAUUCCGCGUGUAGCAGUGAAAUGCGUAGAGAUGUGGAGGAACACCGAUGGCGAAGGCAGCCCCCUGGGUCAACACUGACGCUCAGGCACGAAAGCAUGGGGAGCAAACAGGAUUAGAUACCCUGGUAGUCCAUGCCCUAAACGAUGUCAACUAGUUGUCGGGUCUUAACGGGCUUGGUAACGUAGCUAACGCGUGAAGUUGACCGCCUGGGGAGUACGAUCGCAAGAUUAAAACUCAAAGGAAUUGACGGGGACCCGCACAAGCGGUGGAUUAUGUGGAUUAAUUCGAUGCAACGCGAAAAACCUUACCUACCCUUGACAUGUAUUGAAACCCGCAGAGAUGUGGGUGUGCCCGAAAGGGAACGAUAACACAGGUGCUGCAUGGCUGUCGUCAGCUCGUGUCGUGAGAUGUUGGGUUAAGUCCCGCAACGAGCGCAACCCUUGUCAUUAAUUGCCAUCAUUUAGUUGGGCACUUUAAUGAGACUGCCGGUGACAAACCGGAGGAAGGUGGGGAUGACGUCAAGUCCUCAUGGCCCUUAUGGGUAGGGCUUCACACGUAA